AGGAUGUGGAGAAAUAGGAACACUUUUACACUGUUGGUGGGACUGUAAACUAGUUCAACCAUUGUGGAAGUCAGUGUGGUGAUUCCUUAGGGAUCUAGAACUACAAAUACCAUUUGACCCAGCCAUCCCAUUACUGGGUAUAUACCCAAAGGACUCUAAAUCAUGCUGCUAUAAAGACACAUGCACACGUAUGUUUAUUGCUUCAUUAUUCACAAUAGCAAAGACUUGGAACCAACCCAGAUGUCCAACAAUGAUAGACUGGAUUAAGAAAAUGUGGCACAUAUACACCCUGGAAUACUAUGCAGCCAUAAAAUGGAUGAGUUCAUGUCCUUUGUAGGGACAUGGAUGAAAUUGGAAAUCAUCAUUCUCAGUAAACUAUCGCAAGAACAAAAAACCAAACACCACAUAUUCUCACUCAUAGGUGGGAAUUGAACAAUGAGAUCACAUGGACACAGGAAGGUGAAUAUCACACUCUGGGGACUGUGGUGGGGUGGCGGGAGGGGGGAGGGAGGAUAGCAUUGGGAGAUAUACCUAAUGCUAGAUGACGAGUUAGUGGGUACAGCGCACCAGAAUUACACAUGUAUACAGAUGUAACUAACCUGCACAAUGUGCACAUGUACCCUAAAACUUAAAGUAUAAUUAAAAAAUAAAUAAAUAAAUAAAUAAAUAAAUAAAUAAAUAAAUAAAAGAACAUGUGCAGUUAGCAAACCUAUUACAAAGAACAAAGAGUGCUCUUAAGAAAAGAGAACCAGGCUGGUAUACAAAGGACUUGUGCCUGGUCCUGUGCAAGACUGUUGGAUUGCUAUGUGCCUCUCUAUUACCUCUGUUUUUCCAUCUUUCUUAUGGGAAAGUAUGAGGACAAAUGAUAAUGGCAAAAAUAAAUACCUCCUUUUAAAGAGGAUGGCUAAUGGAACACAGAAGAAAGAUUCUUAAUCCUGUUGAGGCCUUGAUCGAUUGACCUGCUAGAUGCUCUAAUAGAGGGAGAAGAAAUUGCUGGAGAGGUAGGAACACAAUCUAGGAUGGAGGAAGGUAAAAUAAGCAUAAAAGGAAGGAUAGGAAGAAGAAUAUAAGAGGUCUGGCAGACACUGAAGGGCUCCCUGCUGUGACCCCUCUCUGGCAUCCUCCCAAAACAUCAGUGAAGGUUAUCCGGACUUGCUGAAUACUGAGUAUGAGCAGAUUUCUUUUGGAAAUCAAAGAGGAACUAAGGUUGUGCCUGGUGACCCAAGGGAAACAAAAACACAUGCAGAUGCAGAAGCCAGAAGCAGAGUAGGAAGCAGAGAAAAAGAAGCCUUCAAAAUUACACACUUCCCUUCCAUCACACUGAGCUGCUCCUUGUGGCCUUCAGUGUUGUAGGCCUGCCAAGAAACUAUGGUCAGGCCUACCCACUUGGUCAGAUUUCCCUAAUCUGAAAUCUCCAGGAAGACAGCUUGGGGUAUCACUCCUUUUCCUUUCAGAAGCCACCACCCUUCCCUCCCCACUCCACACGCACACCUGGAGCUCUGUUUAAAGAAAGAAUUAGAGAAGCUUAGGGCAAAAGACUCUGUAACACCCUUUCUCUUGCACAAAUGUGCACACUGGCCUUAGUUUACUUAACUAAGGGAAGCCAGUCAAGG
rnacentral:lncRNA from 10 species